AGCCAGACUCCUACGGGAGGCAGCAGUGGGGAAUCUUCCGCAAUGGGCGCAAGCCUGACGGAGCAAUGCCGCGUGAACGAAGAAGGUCUUCGGAUUGUAAAGUUCUGUCCUUAUCGAAGAGAGGGUAUAGAGUGAAAAAUGAUAUACUAGGACGGUAGAUGAGGAGGAAGCCCCGGCUAACUACGUGCCAGCAGCCGCGGUAAUACGUAGGUGGCAAGCGUUGUCCGGAUUUACUGGGUGUAAAGGGCGUGCAGCCGGAGAGACAAGUCAGAUGUGAAAUCCACGGGCUCAACCCGUGAACUGCAUUUGAAACUGUUUCCCUUGAGUGUCGGAGAGGUAAUCGGAAUUCCUUGUGUAGCGGUGAAAUGCGUAGAUAUAAGGAAGAACACCAGUGGCGAAGGCGGAUUACUGGACGAUAACUGACGGUGAGGCGCGAAAGCGUGGGGAGCAAACAGGAUUAGAUACCCCGGUA
rnacentral:rRNA from 1 species